rnacentral:rRNA from 1 species
ACGGAAUAGAUACCCUGGUAGUCCCAGCCGUAAACGAUGCUCGCUAGGUGUCAGGCAUGGCGCGACCGUGUCUGGUGCCGCAGGGAAGCCGUGAAGCGAGCCACCUGGGAAGUACGGCCGCAAGGUUGAAACUUAAAGGAAUUGGCGGGGGAGCACAACAACGGGUGGAGCCUGCGGUUUAAUUGGACUCAACGCCGGACAACUCACCGGGGGCGACAGCAAUAUGUAGGCCAAGCUGAAGACUUUGCCUGAAUCGCUGAGAGGAGGUGCAUGGCCGUCGCCAGUUCGUACUGUGAAGCAUCCUGUUAAGUCAGGCAACGAGCGAGACCCGUGCCCACUGUUACCAGCAUGUCCUGGUAC